rnacentral:lncRNA from 1 species
CUAAGGUGAGUUCAUGCUUUCCUUGGGUUGAUUUCAUGGUUUCUCUUCAAAUCUUUCAAGGUUUUCAUGAGUUUUCUCCUUGAAUUCAAGAGUUGUGAGCUUGGAGCAAGGAGGUGGAGCUUGGAGACUUUUGGAGCUUGGAUCUCCAUAUCUUCAAGUUUGGGAUCACACCAGCCUUUGUUCUUCAAGAGGUAUGUGUUGAUCCUUAUGUUUUCUGAUGUGUUAAGCAAGUUUUAUGGAGGGAGAAGGGAGUUAUGCAUGAGUUUUUGCAUGAGUUGUGCAUGUGAGGGUUUAGGGACCCUUUGUGCCUUUGUAUGUUGUUUGAGUUGUUUUUGGGGUUUUGAGCUUGUUCUAAGCCCCUAUGUGUUAGUAGAAGUGUUUAUGCAUGUUGAGUGAGUUUUGGGGGAAGUUGAGUAUGAGGUGAGCGAGGUUCUGCCUAACUGGAGAACCCAGCUUCGGCCGCCGAAAGAGGGUUCGGCCGCCGAACGUGAUGAGGAGGUGGUUUC